ACUGCUGGCCUGCUUGCAUGUUUUGCUGGCACACCGUAAUGUAGUUGAUAGCCAGCUACGUUAGUCGUCAGUCAGUUGGCUAACAAUAAGGCAGGCAGCCAGCUAAAGCGCGAGCCAACAUGAGUGGUGUGUACGAGAAAACUUAAUAUUUGUUGGCUGACUGACUGGCGGCUGGCAACGAAAAAUUGUGUGCCCUACGGCAAACAUCAUCAACAUCAUCAUCGUAGUCGUUUUAUGACUGAGACGCAUCCAAGAAAAUCGCCAGCCAAAGAAGAAACAAACAAAAAAAAAAAAGAACGAUGAAAAACGAUUCCAAAAAAAAUUCUUCUUCUGGUCAACUCAACGUGUCAUCAAGUGAUGGUGGUGAUGGUCCAAGAUGUUCGAAAAACAAAUGCCAACAAAAAGGCAAGGAAAAGGAUUCAUCAAGGCAAGGAAAGAAAUAUAAACCAUUUCAUAAAAAAGACAAAAAUUUGUCGUUUUCUUCAUUGUUUUUGGCCAAAACAUCAUGAUAGUUUUUUUUUGUUUUUUUUGGUGAAAACAAAUGUCAUUGUCCAACGAUGAAGUAUGAGAUUAGCCAAAUCAAAUAGAAGCCAAUAUUUUGGAGUGCCAAAUCAAAAUAUCGUUUAUGAACGAACCUAAAGAAGACAAACACCACGUUCAAAUUUUUUUGAAGAAACACUCAGUAGUUUCACACACAUGCAGGCACAUCAAAAAGGAAACAAAUAAUCUUCUACUGAAAAUAAAGGUCAGCUAUUGAAAAUAUUUUCGGGUAUAAACCAGUAUUUGGAUAGAAGUUCAACGCUAAUAAACUAACCACCAGCCCAAAAACAGUCCAACGUCUCGAUCAUACAGUCUCAAAUCAGGUUUUCUUUUUAAUAUAAAAUAAUGGACUAAAUACGCGAUAAAAUAACAUCUUUAUCUAGUAUAUUGGACUUGUAUCGCAAAUAAUGGGAUUAUACGCGAUUUAUUUUGUGCAAAAUGAAAAACAACAAAAACAACAAAAAAAGUGACAUUCAAAUAUAAAUAAAACAAAAACAGUUUAGUGAAAUAGAAAAAAUAAUUAAAUAAAAUAAAUAUAGAAUUAAUCUGAAAAAAAUAAAAAUAAAACAACACAUGCAAGAGGAAAAACAACAACUCAAACAGCAUGAGUAAAAUAAUUAGUUUCUAAUACAAGUGCUAAAAGAAAUAUUUAAAUAUAAUUUUAAUUCAAAUAAUAUAAACAAAUAAAUUGAAAAUUACAUAAUAAUUACAACAACAUAUAACUUAUUUAUAACAAAAAUUAUAAUAUUAUCUAAUAAAUACAUAAAAGUGCAGCAAAUAUAUAAAAAUAUAAUAAUAUUUAAAUAACAUAUUUAAUUAACUUAAUUAAAACUUAAUAACAAUAUUGGAUUUAAACUUAUGGCCAAAUAUUUUGUAGUUAAACAAUAAAUACUCACCUUAUAAAAUAAAAAUCUUCGGAAUAACUUUAUCAUCAUGUAAAUAAUGCUGGAAUAUGGAAAACAGCAACUAGAACAUCAAAUCUCUCUGACAGCUAAAUGAAUAUGAGGAAAUCAUAUUAUGAUAUUCUGUAAAAGAAAUCGAAAAAGUGUUUAAACCAACCCCUACUCACAGAGGCAAAGGAUAUGCACACUCAAACACACAUAGAAAAGGAAUACAUAACAACAAAAGCUAAUAAAUCCUGCCAAUCGUCAUAUACAUUUGUGGCUUGUUUUCAUAAAAUUUUAUAUACACAAAUACAUAUUUGUUGGAUACAUAAAAGUAUAUGUAUUUGGGCAUAUAGAAGAGCUUCACUUAUUGGCCUGACCAACCAAUAAGAGAAGAGUUGAAAAUAAAAAGCUCAAACCACCACCGGAAAUGCAAUGCACUAAAUAAACACACACACAUAUACAGGAGAAUUACAAUAACAGUCGUUUACUAAUGAAGUAUGAAAGAGAAAGAGAGAUGUUGGAAAGAGAAGUCUUGACUAAAGGAAGUUGGAUUUUUUUUUAACAAAAAAUAAACAAAUAAUACUCAUACGCCUUCGUAAACGACGGAAAAAGAAAAAGACAGUUUUUUUACUGCAUUGUGUUUCUGUGUUAAAAAAAGCAGUUUUUUCAUUGGUCUGAAGUACUACAAAGGAUUUAUUUUUAGCUACCAAUGAUAUUCAAAUUACAAGAAAAUAAAUCCUUAACUACUUGAGACCUAAAAGUAAAUGUUUUUAUAGUCUUUCAAAAGGGAAGCCAAAAAUACAUUUAACAAACUGUAAAUACAGUUUUUGGCAAGAUUUUAGCUUUUGAAGAUAAAGCUUAACGUAUACAAAGCAAAAAGGAUUAUUUUGCAAAUAAUCUCAAAGGCUGAAAGCAUUAUUUAUAUCAUGAUUUAAACAUAAAUUAACUAAAUUUUAUUUCAAUAUAAAUUAAAAAAAUGUAAAUAUAUACAUAAAUUUAUCUUUAUAUUUUAUAAUUUAGCCUAAAAUGUAGUUUUAUGGUUUAAAGUAGUUUUUAAUUAUUUUAAAUUUAAAUAACAUUUUAAAACAAUUGCAGUUCUAGUAGCCUUAAUAUCAGCUUAAUUUCAACAUCUUUUUAAGCUUUAUUAAGGAUAAAAAGGAAAAUUUACAUUUUUAACAUCUUGCUGGUAAAUUUUUCUUUUUUAUAAUAAUAUUUCUUUAUAUUAUUAAUAAUAAAUUUUAUUAUUAGAUAUUUAUAUUUAAAAUAAUAAUAUUCAUUGCAUCUUAUUAUAACAAAAUUAACAUUAAAUUAAAUUAUAAACUUAUUAAACAUAAUUCUUAUAAGAAUCAUCACAAAUCUUAUAAAAAUGUGUAAAAGAAGAAAAAAAAUUAAAUAAAAUUAAUAAAAACUGUUUAGCUCACUGCGGAACCAAAAAAAA